AUACUUAGAAAUGUAUCUAUGAGGAGAAGUUAAACACAGUGGUCCUUGGUGUCCUCUAGGUUUUGUUUCCAGGGCACACAAACAAACACACCAUGGAUACCAAAAUCUGUCGAUGCACAAGCCCCAUUACUCAUAUAUACAAUGGGAUUGUAAAAUGAUUUUCCUUAUAUAACAUGAUGAAUAAUUCAAACCAGUGCUGGAGAGAGCCUGAGGAUCUUUGAAAUGGCAGGAGACUAGAGCAAAUUAUGUCUACACAUCAGCGUAAUGCUAGGCAUGCAGCAAAAUCAAGCUUUGCUUUUUGGGUAUGUUUAAACCAAUAUUUUUGAGCCAUGAUUGAAUUUGUGGAUAAGUAGGGUUGACAGUAUUAUAAAGUUGACAGUCUUUGAUAUGCAUCCACUAAUUUGCAUAGGAAAAGCAAAAGUCUCCAAUUCAAAAUCAGUUGGCAAAGGCUAAAAUGUUGCUCCAAUGAUCCUUGCUGGUGAUUCCCUCACCAAGAACCCAUUUCAUGGGUACAGGGUUUUUUUUCUCACUCCUAUGCUACCAUAAUCCAAUGAAAUCCUUCAUGUGCUGAUUUGUAUAGGAAUAAGAAAAAGUUUGCAGAUUCAAAUCAGUAGAGUGGGUGGAUAUGAAUGCCUAGCAACAGAGACAGAGAGGAAAAUAACACUGAGAUCAACAUCAUUCUUGCUGCAUCGACCUCGCUGUGACGACUUCACCCUUUGGACCCUGGACUGGAACUCGACUUGGCAUAUCUCUUCACUCUUAAACUCGGCUUGGCAUCAUUCCCGUGUUUGUGGCUGACUUCUAUUGCUGACCGCUGGCUUCAACUUCGACUCCGACGCUGUUCUCCAAUCCUGACUCCGGACCGGUUUAACUUCGCUACAACGUUUCAUUCCCCUGACAUCUGGCUUGGCUUUUGACUCCGCAGCGGCUCGUCGCAAUUGCCUCAGCGUUUUCCAACAUUGUUCGUCCGCACCGCUUUUGGCGAAGAACUUUAGCCUGGUUUGGGCUUUCUCUUUAGUUUUGGGCUUUUUGCUGUACUUUUGGGUUUUGGAGAGGUUUUGUGCCUUUGGGAAUUCUUGCCCAUGUUUGUUUUACUGUUUUGACUUUGCCUUGCAAUUUUGAGCUGUUUUCAAGCACUUUGGUUUUAAUCCGGAUUAUAUCCCCGGAUAAUCCGGAUUAUAUUCUGGUUAGCGUUUUUGAGGUUUCUUGCUCUGAACUGUUUAAUUACACUGAAGUUAAAGUGUUGUGAGCUCUCUGGACUUUGUGCUGAGCUUUUUUGAGUUAUUUUUGAAUAAACUAUAUUUAUCUUACUGGCUGGUGUCUGACCUUUGACAAACAUAAUCAUUGCUUAUUGUUGUCUUGAUGUAAGAGCUGGAUACACUGAUUGGAAUUAAGACACAGUUUUAUUCACAUAAAUCGUUACAUGGUAUAAUCUAUUUCAGUGAGUCUGUGAAUUAUGAAGCAUAUCCCCUCUGGAUAUGGGAGUUGCACUAUAUCAAAGUUUUGGUGCAACCGAAUAAAACCAUGGCUAGCAAUCUGUUGGGCGCUUGAUGCAUACAUAAUUUCCCCUCAUGCGUGAAAGUGUAUUUAUUUGUUUAUUUGCUUGUUGAGCAUGGAUAAAUAUCUACAUUUACUUUACAGUUACAUAAGUGUGGUUCUCCAAGUAUAACUCUUCACAUGCAGUUGCAUAAAUAGUUAAUUAAUUUUUAUCCCACUUUUCUCCCAGAACAGGACUCAAAGUGUUGUACAGCAUAUAAAACAAAGAGCAGUUACAUAACAUAAAAUACAGUCAUACACCACAGCAUGUAUAAAAUUAACAAAUUAUAACAAUUAUAACAGCUUAUUAGUAUUUUCUAUGUACAAUUUGUAAUUGUGGCAGUGCUAUGCAUUACUUAGAUUAGAUUGUCUUGGGUUCAUCCCACAGAAUUUGGGAAUUUGCUGUAAGGUUUUUGGAAUUCUCUGUUAGAGAGUUCUGGAGCAGUAGUUCGGUAGAAAGCACUAGAGUACUCUAGCAGAGAAUUCCAAGGCUACCUUACAAAUGUCAGGAAUCCUUUGGAUGGAGCCAUAGCAGUUAACAUAGUAUCAGACUACUCAAACAUAAUGCAGUUACACUCAUAGUUUUCCUAUGGAUUGUUCUGAACUAUGACAGUGGGAUAUUCUUCAAAUUUAUCAGGUCAGGUCAAUAAAGGUUUGUGUAUAUUUCGUGCCUUUGGGUGAGCGUUACACAAUGUGCAUUCUCUCAGAGAUACACCAACACAAAAUUUUGUUGAUGUAUGCAGCCAUCAUUUAUUUUCAAGAAAACUCUAGCAAGUCUCACUAAUUGGAAGCAAUCUUCACUGAGAACUGAUUAAAUGCUGCCAAGCUCAGUUAAACCCAGCAUGUUUAAAUGGACUAGGGUUACUCCCAUAGAGAAAAAGAUAAAAGUUUACUGGCCAUAAGUUAGGUCCUGGAACUCUAGAAAUAAGAAAUGCCCUGAUUUGUAGGCUUUAUUAUAUUGCAACCCAUGGAUUUUAAGACUGAGAAAUUAAUGAAAAAUGUUAUUGCUUGCUUAAAUGUUUGCAUCAAAAAUAUAUGUAUAUAUUGCUCUAAAGCUUUUAGAGAAACAAGAGAAAGACCAGGAGUAUCCUAACAAAGUCUGAGGAUAGGUCUGCACCUUUGUGCAAAUAUAUUUCACUGUAUUAUUAUUAUUAUUAUUAUUAUUAUUAUUAUUAUUAUUAUUAUUAUUAUUGUGUUGAUUGAAACUCUAUCUAUCGAUCUAUCUAUCCUUCAUUGAUGAAACUCAAGACAGUAUGCACUUGCAGGUGUUUUCCAUAAAUGUAUCAAUCAGACCUACCUCACUUCAGAAAGAUAACUUUUCCACAUAUCUUCUAAUAAUAACUUCUGAGAGGGAAGAGGUGGCUGAUAAAAGUGUGAAUAAGUUCAAUCUGAGGUACUAUGUGGUUUGAAAGUAUUCAUUUUUAGUAUUCAAUGUCUGAUGUCCAAUUCAUAAAUGCAAACCCUAUGUAAUCUUGUAAUCCUUAUGCAUGCAUAAAUCUAAGACUUUAUCAUAAGAAGUGGGUAAACCAGUUUUGAUGACCAACCUGUGAAAUAAUGAGACCAGACAGAAAUUGGGUUGUAAAAUGUUGCCACUUUAUUAGCUGGAUCUAAUAAAGUUAAAUUUUUUGCUUCUUAAGAGAUGCUAUAAAGUGGGUGGGUGACCUGGUGUGGGAAAAGCUGAGACAAGAGGUCUCUUCCUAUCCCCUACACAACUUUCCUUGGGUAAAAAACAUCUAAACGGAAAUGAACCCAAAAGUUGGGUUGUUCCUUUAGCCAGCCUGCAUCUGGAAGGCUUACUCAAAAUUUUCCUUUUUCCCAAAUCCUACAACAUUUCCUUUACAUAGUAACAUCAUAUACUGCCUUUCAUGUUCUCAUUUUCAGUGCUAGCUAUUUGAAAACAGAUUACAAAAUGUCAAUUUUAGAACUCAAAAGAGCAACUAUGAAAUAAGAUCCACUGUCAUCUCAUAAAGAUCAAAUUAUUGGAUGUCAAAUGCUGAAGUUGUUAAAUAUCUCAUGUCAGAUGUAUUUUAGACAUUUGAUUUCAAAGUCCAUGAAGUCCAUGAUAUAAUAUCCCAGUUCCUCCUGGGAUUUAGGCCCCUUCUACACUACCAUAUAAUCCAAUUCAAAGCAGAUAAUCUUGAUUUUAUAUGAUAGUGUAGAAAGGGCCACAGUCAUGAAGCUACAGUAUAUCCAAACAUUUCCCAGUCUAAAGGUGUUGGAAACUAUUUUGGAUUCCUGCCAAAAUUGUCAGCGCCCUUCAUUUGGCUUAUCUCUCAUUCAAUUCUUUGUUCACUUUUUAAUGGCCCUUCUGCCUGCAGAUUUGGAGUUAGCAUGAGAGGACUCUGCUGGCUGAAAAUACUGAUGUCUAAUCCUAACUCUGUUCAACCAGUAGAGCUCCCAAAUGUAGUCCUAUAGUCACUUACUUGGGAGUAAAUUGCAUUGAACUCUACUAGGCUUACUUCUGAGCAGACAGGUAUCCGAUUUAAAUGCAAAUUGCUAUUGUGCCAGCUGCUGGCCAUUUCAAAGUUUAUGCAGCUUUUAUUCUGUUUGGCUAUAAUGUUUGCAUAAUGGAGAAGCCUGAAUACCAGUCUGUCAACAAAUAUCAGUCUGGUGUUUGGGGAUAGAACAAGACACAUAUUUGGUUAGGGUCUCUUUUUCUCUGUUCUCUGUUCUCUUUUAAACAGAUGUAAAGAGCUUCCCUAGAGUGAUACUAUUGAACUUCAGCCCUUUGUCUUUCACUGUAAUACAUUGUAAUGUCUUAAAGAUUGAGACCCUGGAACAAAUGUUAGUUUGCAUGUUUGGAUCAUGUUGUUAGUCCAGUUCAGCCAUUUUGAAGCCUAUAAGACAUAAUAAUACCUUCACAAAUGCCUCUGUUGAGUAUUGUGACAAUAUAAGUAAACUCUGUACUUACAUUCUGGAACUCCCUCCCUAGGGAGGUUAGGUUGGCUCCCUCUCUAUCCUCCUUUAAGAAACAACUGAAAACUUGGAUUUUCAGCUUGGCCUUUGGUGAGACAGUCACUGGAUCACCAGCCUCAUUAUAAUUCUAUUCUGAAUUUUAUUAGGUCCCUCUUAUUUGGGUAUUUUAAUCUGAUGAUGCUAUCUCUAUAUUGCUGCUGCAGUUCCUCCACCUAUGAAGUUUGAUAUUAUUAUUGUUGUAUUAACUCUUGUGUUAUUCCCUUAUUGUGUUUUCACUUGUGUAUAUUGUGCAAAUGUAUUUAUCUUGUUACUUCUGUGAACUAUGUUGACUGGGCUUUGCCCCAUGUGAGCCGCCUUGAGUCCCCGUGGGGAGAUGGUGGCGGGGUAUAAAUAAAGUUUUUUUAUUAUUA